ACCUGAUGCAGCGACGCCGCGUGAGGGAUGACGGCCUUCGGGUUGUAAACCUCUUUCAGCAGGGAAGAAGCGAAAGUGACGGUACCUGCAGAAGAAGCACCGGCUAACUACGUGCCAGCAGCCGCGGUAAUACGUAGGGUGCGAGCGUUGUCCGGAAUUAUUGGGCGUAAAGAGCUUGUAGGCGGUUUGUCGCGUCUGCCGUGAAAAUCCGAGGCUCAACCUCGGACUUGCGGUGGGUACGGGCAGACUAGAGUGUGGUAGGGGAGACUGGAAUUCCUGGUGUAGCGGUGAAAUGCGCAGAUAUCAGGAGGAACACCGAUGGCGAAGGCAGGUCUCUGGGCCACUACUGACGCUGAGAAGCGAAAGCGUGGGGAGCGAACAGGAUUAGAUACCCUGGUAGUCCACGCCGUAAACGUUGGGAACUAGGUGUGGGUCUCAUUCCACGAGAUCCGUGCCGCAGCUAACGCAUUAAGUUCCCCGCCUGGGGAGUACGGCCGCAAGGCUA
rnacentral:rRNA from 1 species